rnacentral:rRNA from 1 species
ACUCCUACGGGAGGCAGCAGUGGGGAAUAUUGCACAAUGGGCGCAAGCCUGAUGCAGCCAUGCCGCGUGUAUGAAGAAGGCCUUCGGGUUGUAAAGUACUUUCAGCAGUGAGGAAGGUGGAUGCGUUAAUAGCGUAUUCAUUGAUCGUUUAGCUGCAGAAGAAGACACCGGCUAACUCCGUGCCAGCAGCCGCGGUAAUACGGAGGGUGCGAGCGUUAAUCGGAAUUACUGGGCGUAAAGCGCAUGCAGGUGGUUUGUUAAGUCAGAUGUGAAAGCCCGGGGCUCAACCUCGGAAUAUGACA